rnacentral:lncRNA from 1 species
ACAUGGGGAGUUCAAGGCCAGCCUGGGACCCUGACUCAGAAGACCAAAGGAUAAACUGAAACAAAGAAUGGCUGACAACAGCAGACUAUGCCUCGAGUAUAUGUCAUAAGCGCGGAUUGCCGCUCUGGGCCCUCGUCAGAGAUGCUUCACUUUGCAGCAGGAAGCGGGAAAUUCAGAGGCUCUCAAGUCCGAAUGCAGAGGAAGAACUGGCUACGAGUGCUUGCUCUAAGAGGGGCAAGAGCUGUGAAAGGUUGUCUAAUGGAUGUCUGGUGGCCAUCAUCCUUGUGACCUCACAGCAGCUGGACAAGAUCAACCCAGCUA